CCUACGGGAUGCAGCAGUGAGGAAUAUUGGUCAAUGGUCGCGAGCCUGAACCAGCCAAGUCGCGUGAAGGAUGACUGCCCUACGGGUUGUAAACUUCUUUUCUAAAGGAAUAAAGUGUGGCACGUGUGCCUUUUUGUAUGUACUUUAUGAAUAAGGAUCGGCUAACUCCGUGCCAGCAGCCGCGGUAAUACGUAGGAUCCGAUCGUUAUCCGGAUUUAUUGGGUUUAAAGGGAGCGUAGAUGGGUUGUUAAGUCAGUGGUUAAAGGUUGCGGCUCAACCGUAAAAUUGCAAUUGAUACUGGCAGUCUUGAGUACAGAUGAGGUAGGCGGAAUUCGUGGUGUAGCGGUGAAAUGCUUAGAUAUCACGAAGAACUCCGAGUGCGAAGGCAGCUUACGAAACUGACACUGACAUUGAGGCUCGAAAGUGUGGGUAUCGAACAGGAUUAGAUACCCGGGUAGUC
rnacentral:rRNA from 1 species